rnacentral:lncRNA from 1 species
UUGCGCAUAGACCUUGUCUCCGUGGUUUCUUCCAUCCGACCGCGCGUCCCCUCCAAGCCUUGAGCCGCCUGUUGCCGCCCCGGUCAGGCUGUGGCAUAGGCCCGACCUCCGGCAGCGAUCCGCCGGCUAUACUCCAGCAGUAGCAGAAGUCCGCACAACAAUUGGCGCCCGGAACAGGGACUCCACUCCCUUCUGUAUGCGGUGGAGCGACAUCUUUGCGUUCCUGUUUGGCCGGCCAGCCGCUCGACUUCCCGCACGGGACCCAUCGCCGUCCUCCCGUGCCGCCGCUCAAGGUCUCACCGUUGGUCCCUGGGCCGUUCGACGAAUCAUUCACCUUGCCAAAGAUCAAGCUAACAGCGUAUUUUCUUCCUUUGUCCAGAUUCAUUACCAACGUCUCGCUACUACUGACUCCACUUCCCGCCCUCGCCCACGUCCUCGUCCCUUUCCCCACCGUACAUCCUGCCUGUAAAGCUACUUGCUGUGAGACUCCCUGCCUCUGGCCGCCGGCACGGGUUUGCUUCCCUUGGCGUAAAGGGUCUGGGUGCACCCUCCGCCCCCCUUUAUUGCUAUAUGUCCAGGGAGUCUUCGCAGUCAAGUUAGCCACAGUGCAAGCCACCCCUAAAAGCGUGUACAACAUCAUGCUAGACAUCUCGUCUAACACCAGCACGCACCGACCCUAAGGGCUAUACAUGCAUCCUGAUCAAAUGCUAUGUCACUUGCCCAUGGCCGGUCAAUCCUGCCCCCUUACCCCUCACCCUCCCCAGCCUGAUACUCUAAUUUCUUUUACUUUCCUUUAAAAAACAGAAGGAGCAAUUGUUGCUGCCUCCCUCCACCCCUUCCCCCAGCCUUUGUUAUCUUCUUCUUCCAGCCGUUGCUGUCCUUCCCGCCAGUCCCACCCACGUUGCCAACAUAUAAUCUGCCUUCUUCCUUAGCCACUGCUUACCUCAUAGCCGCCUGCCCAGUCCCGCCUAUCCAUUAUCACCCCUAGCCAGCCCGCCCUAGCUCCAACCCCUCCCUCUACCCAACCAUAUAUAACUAAGUGUACUUCCUCAAUAAAUUGGACUUGCGCAUA